UUACGAACAAGAUAUUUCGACUACACUCUCGCUAAAUAAGUAGUGAUAUCAAAAUUAACUAUGAACUUAUUUUCUUUGAUACUGCCCAUUUUGCUGCUAUGCGCUGUGUUGGUGAACAGUCAGAUAAGAUUCAGUUAUUCAAUGGACAAUAAGACUGAGGUCACCGGGGAACUAACGCCUGGCUCUCAACUAACUAUAAUUUUUGGACCUGCGUAAUAGGUUUUUCUACUUUUGUCUUAAAUGUGGAAAUAAAAUAUGGCUAUAACAUUGUUGUAAA